CUACAGAGGGUGCGAGCGUUAAUCGGAAUUACUGGGCGUAAAGCGCGCGUAGGCGGCUUAUUAAGUCAGAUGUGAAAUCCCCGGGCUUAACCUGGGAACUGCAUCUGAUACUGGUAAGCUAGAGUUUUGGAGAGGGAAGUAGAAUUUCAGGUGUAGCGGUGAAAUGCAUAGAGAUCUGAAGGAAUACCAGUGGCGAAGGCGACUUCCUGGCCAAAAACUGACGCUGAGGUGCGAAAGCGUGGGUAGCAAACGGGAUUAGAUACCCUUGUAGUCC
rnacentral:rRNA from 1 species